CGUACCUACGGGAGGCAGCAGUGGGGAAUAUUGGGCAAUGGGCGCAAGCCUGACCCAGCAACGCCGCGUGAAGGAAGAAGGCUUUCGGGUUGUAAACUUCUUUUCUCAGGGACGAAGAAAGUGACGGUACCUGAGGAAUAAGCCACGGCUAGCUACGUGCCAGCAGCCGCGGUAAUACGUAGGUGGCAAGCGUUAUCCGGAUUUACUGGGUGUAAAGGGCGUGUAGGCGGGGAAGACAGUCAG
rnacentral:rRNA from 1 species